GUGCUUGCACCUGCUGACGAGUGGCGCACGGGUGCGGAACGCGUAUCGAACCUGCCCCUGUCAGGGGAAUAGCCCAUGGAAACGUGGAUUAAUGCCCCAUGGCAUCACGGGAUCGCAUGAUUUUGUGAUUAAAGAUUUAUCGGACAGGGAUGGCGAUGCGUAUCAUUAGUUAGUUGGUAAGGUAACGGCUUACCAAGGCCACGAUGAUUAGGGGCCCUGAGAGGGGGAUCCCCCACACUGGUACUGAGACACGGACCAGACUCCUACGGGAGGCAGCAGUGAGGAAUAUUGGACAAUGGUGGGAACACUGAUCCAGCCAUGCCGCGUGCAGGAUGACUGCCCUAUGGGUUGUAAACUGCUUUUAUACGGGAAGAAACCCAGGUACGUGUACCUGGCUGACGGUACCGUAAGAAUAAGGACCGGCUAACUCCGUGCCAGCAGCCGCGGUAAUACGGAGGGUCCGAGCGUUAUCCGGAAUCAUUGGGUUUAAAGGGUCCGUAGGCGGGCCAAUAAGUCAGAGGUGAAAGGCCACGGCUCAACCGUGGGACUGCCUUUGAUACUGUUGGUCUUGAGUCAUAGUGGGGUUGCCGGAACAUGUGGUGUAGCGGUGAAAUGCAUAGAUAUCACAUAGAACACCGAUCGCGAAGGCAGGUGGCCAACUAUGUACUGACGCUGAUGGACGAAAGCGUGGGGAGCGAACGGGAUUAGAUACCCCGGUAGUCCACGCCGUAAACGAUGGAUACUAGCUGUGGGGACUUCGGUCUCCGUGGCCAAGCGAAAGUGAUAAGUAUCCCACCUGGGGAGUACGUUCGCAAGAAUGAAACUCAAAGGAAUUGACGGGGGCCCGCACAAGCGGUGGAGCAUGUGGUUUAAUUCGAUGAUACGCGAGGAACCUUACCAGGGCUUAAAUGCAGUAUGACAGAUCCAGAGACGGAUUUUUCUUCGGACAUAUUGCAAGUGCUGCAUGGUUGUCGUCAGCU
rnacentral:rRNA from 1 species